rnacentral:rRNA from 1 species
UUCCUUCUUAGCAAGGGAUUACAUUGGAAACAGAUGCUUAAUACCGUAUAACAAAUGCCACCCGCAUGGUUGUUAUUUUAAAAAGAUGGUUCUGCUAUCAAUAAGAGAUGGUCCCCGCGGGUACAUUAGCUUAGUUGGUAAGGGUAAUGGCUUUCCAAAGGCGAAUGGAUGCAUAGCCGAGUUGAGAGACUGAUCGGCCACAAAUGGGAUUGAGACACGGGCCCCAUACUCCUACGGGGAGGCAGCAAGUUAGGGAAUCUUCCACAAUGGGCGAAAGCCUGAUGGGAGCAACGCCGCGUGUGUGAUGAAGGGUUUCGGCUCGUAAAACACUGUUGUAAAGAGAAGAAUGACAUUUGAGAGUAACUGUUCAAUGUGUGACGGUAUCUUACCAGAAAGGAACGGCUAAAUACGUGCCAGCAGCCGCGGUAAUACGUAUGUUCCAAGCGUUAUCCGGAUUUAUUGGGCGUAAAGCGAGCGCAGACGGUUAUUUAAGUCUGAAGUGAAAGCCCUCAGCUCAACUGAGGAAUUGCUUUGGAAACUGGAUGACUUGAGUGCAGUAGAGGAAAGUGGAACUCCAUGUGUAGCGGUGAAAUGCGUAGAUAUAUGGAAGAACACCAGUGGCGAAGGCGGCUUUCUGGACUGUAACUGACGUUGAGGCUCGAAAGUGUGGGUAGCAAACAGGAUUAGAUACCCUGGUAGUCCACACCGUAAACGAUGAGUGCUAGGUGUUUGAGGGUUUCCGCCCUUAAGUGCCGCAGCUAACGCAUUAAGCACUCCGCCUGGGGAGUACGACCGCAAGGUUGAAACUCAAAGGAAUGGACGGGGACCCGCACAAGCGGUGGAGCAUGUGGUUUAAUUCGGAGCAACGCGAAGAACCCUUUACCCAGGUCUUGACAUCCCUUGACAACUCCCAGAGGAUGGAGCCGUCUCCUUUGGGGG